ACUCAAAGGAAUUGACGGGGGCCCGCACAAGCGGCGGAGCAUGCGGAUUAAUUCGAUGCAACGCGAAGAACCUUACCAAGGCUUGACAUACACCGGAAACAUCCAGAGAUGGGUGCCCCGCAAGGUCGGUGUACAGGUGGUGCAUGGUUGUCGUCAGCUCGUGUCGUGAGAUGUUGGGUUAAGUCCCGCAACGAGCGCAACCCUUGUCCUGUGUUGCCAGCGCGUAAAGGCGGGGACUCGCGGGAGACUGCCGGGGUCAACUCGGAGGAAGGUGGGGAUGACGUCAAAUCAUCAUGCCCCUUAUGUCUUGGGCUUCACGCAUGCUACAAUGGCCGGUACAAAGGGUGGCGAUGCCGCGAGGUGGAGCGAAUCCCAAAAAGCCGGUCUCAGUUCGGAUUGGGGUCUGCAACUCGACCCCAUGAAGUCGGAGUCGCUAGUAAUCGCAGAUCAGCAACGCUGCGGUGAAUACGUUCUCGGGCCUUGUACACACCGCCCGU
rnacentral:rRNA from 1 species